CUUCAGUUGAUGAAAUGAUGUGUGAAAUUGACCUCGACGGCAAUGGCAAGAUCGAUUAUGAAGAGUUCGUCACUACGAUCUGUGAACUGACGCAGUUUCUCUAUGACGAAUGCAACGAUGACUAAGGAAGAAGUUUGCUGUGUGAGCCUUGCUGGGCGUGGACAUGAUGAGUAGUUCAAUCCAAAAGGAGACCAGGGGAGGAUUGAUCGAUCUUCAUAAAAACUGCUGGGGACCGAGACUAUGUGACUACUGCAGGAAUGGCAGAAAAUCAUGCGUCCCCUUUCCGACGUUUCAUCCAUAAAUUGGAGUGUUGUUGCAUUCCCAAACGUGUGCGAUUUCAAAGCACAAGAUGGAACUCGAGUUCCACGAACACAUCCCUCCGCCAAACAAGAAUGCCUUUAUUCAAGACUUUAACUCUUACUCGUGUACUACUAAAGAGUACUACAUGUAGCUACCCCAAUAGCAAACGACUGCAUGGACAUUAAACAUCUUAAUCUUCUUGUCUAAGGUAACAAUAAAAUUAUGUACACUGUUGUGAUACUUUCCAGCGCAACUUUUAUAGUGCUUCGUCAAAAUCAAUCAGUCUCUACUAGCCUUCGGCCUGGUUGAAUAGUGAAUUAUGUAAG